UGCUAUACAUGCAAGUCGAACGAACUCUGGUAUUGAUUGGUGCUUGCAUCAUGAUUUACAUUUGAGUGAGUGGCGAACUGGUGAGUAACACGUGGGAAACCUGCCCAGAAGCGGGGGAUAACACCUGGAAACAGAUGCUAAUACCGCAUAACAACUUGGACCGCAUGGUCCGAGUUUGAAAGAUGGCUUCGGCUAUCACUUUUGGAUGGUCCCGCGGCGUAUUAGCUAGAUGGUGGGGUAACGGCUCACCAUGGCAAUGAUACGUAGCCGACCUGAGAGGGUAAUCGGCCACAUUGGGACUGAGACACGGCCCAAACUCCUACGGGAGGCAGCAGUAGGGAAUCUUCCACAAUGGACGAAAGUCUGAUGGAGCAACGCCGCGUGAGUGAAGAAGGGUUUCGGCUCGUAAAACUCUGUUGUUAAAGAAGAACAUAUCUGAGAGUAACUGUUCAGGUAUUGACGGUAUUUAACCAGAAAGCCACGGCUAACUACGUGCCAGCAGCCGCGGUAAUACGUAGGUGGCAAGCGUUGUCCGGAUUUAUUGGGCGUAAAGCGAGCGCAGGCGGUUUUUUAAGUCUGAUGUGAAAGCCUUCGGCUCAACCGAAGAAGUGCAUCGGAAACUGGGAAACUUGAGUGCAGAAGAGGACAGUGGAACUCCAUGUGUAGCGGUGAAAUGCGUAGAUAUAUGGAAGAACACCAGUGGCGAAGGCGGCUGUCUGGUCUGUAACUGACGCUGAGGCUCGAAAGUAUGGGUAGCAAACAGGAUUAGAUACCCUGGUAGUCCAUACCGUAAACGAUGAAUGCUAAGUGUUGGAGGGUUUCCGCCCUUCAGUGCUGCAGCUAACGCAUUAAGCAUUCCGCCUGGGGAGUACGGCCGCAAGGCUGAAACUCAAAGGAAUUGACGGGGGCCCGCACAAGCGGUGGAGCAUGUGGUUUAAUUCGAAGCUACGCGAAGAACCUUACCAGGUCUUGACAUACUAUGCAAAUCUAAGAGAUUAGACGUUCCCUUCGGGGACAUGGAUACAGGUGGUGCAUGGUUGUCGUCAGCUCGUGUCCUGAGAUGUUUGGGUUAAGUCCCGCAACGAGCGCAACCCUUAUUA
rnacentral:rRNA from 1 species